rnacentral:rRNA from 1 species
AUUGAACGCUGGCGGCAUGCCUUACACAUGCAAGUCGAACGGCAGCACGGGGGCAACCCUGGUGGCGAGUGGCGAACGGGUGAGUAAUGCAUCGGAACGUACCCGGAAGUGGGGGAUAACGUAGCGAAAGUUACGCUAAUACCGCAUAUUCUGUGAGCAGGGAAGUGGGGGACCGCAAGGCCUCACGCUUUCGGAGCGGCCGAUGUCGGAUUAGCUAGUUGGCGGGGUAAAGGCCCACCAAGGCGACGAUCCGUAGCGGGUCUGAGAGGAUGAUCCGCCACACUGGGACUGAGACACGGCCCAGACUCCUACGGGAGGCAGCAGUGGGGAAUUUUGGACAAUGGGCGCAAGCCUGAUCCAGCCAUGCCGCGUGAGUGAAGAAGGCCUUCGGGUUGUAAAGCUCUUUCGGCGGGGAAGAAAUUGCUUAGGUUAAUACCUUGAGUAGAUGACGGUACCCGCAUAAGAAGCACCGGCUAACUACGUGCCAGCCGCCGCGGUAAAAC